rnacentral:lncRNA from 1 species
UGGUUUUACAAUGUAAGCAUAAAAACCUUGUCCUGGUAUACAGUGUAUUCCAGAAUGAGUCUUUCCCUGUUCCUAUGAACAAAUUCAGCUCAGUUUUCAACUAAGUUUCAUUCAGUGACCCCUUCCUCAGUGCUAGGCAGUUUGCCAGUGGAAUGGACAAUGAGAAAGGGAUCGAGAUGGGGGGGUGAAAAAGAGGCACAGACAGAGUGCCAGGAAGCCCACAGGUGGAAAGGCCCUCCAGGUAGGGAGGAUCUAGGAAGCCUUCAUGGAGGAGGUAGCAGAGCAAAUUGAUUCCAUCGAUAUUUGUUUCUUUUCUUUUUUCUUUUUUUGUCUUUUGUCUUUUUAGGGCUGCACCCGCGGCAUAUAGAGGUUCCCUGGCUAGGGGUGGAAUUAGAGCCGUAGCUUCCAGCCUAUGCCGCAGCCACAGCAAUGCCAGAUCCGAGCCGCAUCUUCCACCUACACCACAGCUCACAGCAACGCCGGAUCCUUAACCCACUGAGCGAGGCCAGGGAUCGAACCUGCAACCUCAUGGUUCCUAGCUGGAUUCGUUUCCUCUGAGCAACGACAGGAACUCAUGGUUCAGUUCUCUGUAUUUAAUGUGUAUUCAUUGAGCCAUUACUCCGUGCCCUGCACGGUACCAUAGGAAGGCUCUGGGGAUACGAGGAUGAGGAAGACAGAGUCUUUGUCUGCAAAGAGUUCCUGAGCAAACAAGUACAAUAGCAUGGGACCAAGGUGGGUGGAGAAGGCUCCAACCCCCUCAGGGACAGGCUUGUGAAGGCUUCUAGGAGAAAGGGGCAGGGCUAAGCUUGUACUUAAAGGAUGUAGAGGAGUGAUAGGGGCAGAUAGAUAGUGAAGCGAAAGGCACUCUUUGCAAAGCCAGCAGCAGGUGCAAAGGUCUGGUGGUGGGAGAGAGAGAGCACAGCGCACCUGGGGCAAGAUAAGCACCUCAGUGUCUCCAAGGCAGAAAACGCGGGAGUGGAAAGUGAUGGGGGGAGGGGCUGUUGGUAAAGAUCUGAGUAAUCAACGAACAGAGCCCGAUGCUCUGGUAAAACGAACCUAAUGGCAGAGAAGAUGAAUGUCAUUAAAAUAAAAAGGUAGAAGAGAUAGGCAUAGAUCCCAGAGAAACUCAUGAGGCAAGAAUACCAGAAGCCUUCUAUUUCUCCAACUGUUGUCACCCCUGUCAUGUGAGCGAACAACUCAUCUUUUGAAAAAAAGGAGAGGAAAUGAGAUUUAUCAUGUAUUGAACAAUUGGAUUUUCCAUUUUCUCCUAAAGCGGAAUUUACUUCUGUCCCGGAAAACCACAAUCCACAGAAGAGGAGAAUAAACGAGACAUAAAUAUAAACAGACUCUCCUGAAGGGCGGUCGGCAGACAAAAGUCCUCUUGAGGAGAUGCACCAGUUGAUGUCAUCGUGAAGUCAGAUACAAUUACUCAUCUCCAUUCCGUCCACUGAAGAAAAGGAGGUGGGGGAGACAGAGCGAAGGUCGUGGAAACCGUGGAUGGCAAAUGAUUCCAGGCAAAGCCACCGUCCCAGGCAUCUUUUGCUUAUGCUACAGUGAAUGGACAGGGGAAGUAUUCUGGAAGCUGCUGUUUCCUGGCUUAUCAUCUGGGCUCCUUCUGGGUUGUUGCGUCCUUUGACGGUAUCCUCAUCCAAACCCAGACUCCACAGCAGAACAGCAUCUGCGGGGGUCUAGCUCAGCCACUCCCUGUGGCACUCUGAGGGCGCAAACUUGCCAGCAUGUGCUUUUAAUUCAGUUCAAGUGCCCUGAGUCCUGUCCCCGAUCCCCACAGGCCUCGCCCUCACUUUAUAGGGACCUCACCAUGUCCCGCAAUGGCCCCUGCAGGCCUCCGAGACCUUGCCAGCGUCUUCCUGUCAGAGCCCUGCAGGGUCAGCCUCUCACUGCUCCACGGGACGCCGGGCCAUCUCUGUCUCCUAUGAACUCAGCCUGGACAGUCUUCCCCUGGCUCUUUCCAGCUUCCCCACCCUCCUAAGCACUCUUCUCUGAAUCCUUUUCGCAUUUCAAUGGUUAAGAAAAGGUGAUGUGAGGAGUUCCCUGGUGGCUCAGGGGGUUAAAGAUCCAGUGUGGUCACUGCAACAGCCUGGGUCACUGAUGUGACGUGGGUUCUAUCCUUGGCCUAGGAACUUCUGCAUGCCCUGGGCAUGGCCAAAAAAAGGGGGAUGGGAUUUUAGUUUGCACUAGCAGAAGCACAGAACUUACAAGGAGAGAAAGGAUAAGCCAGCUCUGUGCUGCUACUCGCCUGCUCCCAACGUUGUUGUGAGGGUUCCGGGCAGAGCGCCUUUUGCUACAUCACAUAGAACUUCUAUCCUCAGAGAUGUUCUGUUUGCUAUACACAGCCCAGGACCAAACCCCAGGGCAUCUGCACUUGUCUUCCUUGAGACAGGUUACCAGGUAGCGCAGCAAUGAAUCUGUGGCUCUACCCUCCAGGGGUCCCCAUCUAUAGAGGGGGCAGGAUAAGGAGCUGAAGAGGGUUCCAGGGUAAGGAGGUGGUGGGCACAUGGGGGAGAGAGAGCCCUCACUCCUGGCCCAGUCCCCUGAUGGUGCACUCUCUCUCAGGGUUAACAUCCCAGCGGGAAGCUGGAGGCACCAGCCCACCCUGGAGCAGCCCACUGUGUGGGGACUGUGUCUGCAGGAGCCUCUGACUAAACACGCAGGUGUAGUUCCAGUGACAGCACAGUGGGAGGACUGCCCAGCGCCAGGUAAGGAAGGCUCCUGAAGAGGGACCAGGAAGCUUCACCUCCCCGAAUACACACCACCCAGGCAGGUGCAGCCCAGGCUUCUCUCGCUUCCAAACAGCAUCUAAAAAUCAAGCUUCACGCCUGAUCUUGGCUUGUUGGCGCCUUAGCAAACUUAUCCAUAUGCUUGAGGAAGAGGAGGGAAGGGGAGAAGUGAUGUGAGUGUGGCUGCAGUGUUACUCAGUGUUACUGGUCCCUGAUCAUGAGCUGAAAAUGUCCCGCAUGAAUCAGGGUGAUGGUGACCUUCCUGGGAGCCAAAACUCUGUCUCCCCUGACAUGGUGAGAAGCCACAGACAUGGCGAGGAUGACUCAGUGUUAGAGUCCGCACGCGACAAAAUUUGAAAAUUAUGAAACGAGCAUCUCAGGUGACCAUGAGUCAAUUUCCAGGCAGGAUCCAGUUCCUUCCCAUGUGUUAAGGGAGGUGGCUUCAGGCUCUGCGGCAUCAGGGCCAAUUUCUUAUGUGCUCAAAAUCCCAGUUUCUCUAGGUGUAAAGCAGAGGGUGUUGGGAUGAUGAAGUGAGAUAAUUUAACAUUCUUACAGUACCUGGGUGACAAGCCGCUGGUUUGCUGGGGUCCAAGGGAUUCCCAGAACAUGGGACCUUCAGUGCUAAACCCAUGACAGAUCCAGGUAAAUCAGAUGCACCCUGGUUACCCCGGCAGUGCCUGCCCUAUGGCAGAUGAUCGAUAAUGUCAGCAAUAGGUACUUACUACAAUUAUUACUUUUUUUUUUUUUUUGUCUUUUUAGGCCUGCACAAAUGGCACAUGGAAGUUCCCAGGCUAGGGGUCGAAACUGGAGCUUCAGCUGCCAGUCUGCACCACAGCUAUAGCAAUGCAGGGUCCGAGCUGUGUCUGUGACCUGCACCACAGCUCACGGCAACACCGGAUCCUUAACCCACUGAGCAAAGCCAGGGAUUGAACCCACGUCCUCAUGGAUACUAGUCGGGUUCAGAUUCAUUAAUGGCUGAGCCACGACAGGAACUCCCACAUUAUACAAUCUUAAUCCAUAUGCUAUGCCCUUGUCUGUCAAAUGGUUACUAAGCACUAACCAUGUCCUAGGCAUUGUUCUAAGUGUUAAACUAUUUAUUUAUUUCUUACAAUGAUCCUAUUACUACUAUUAUAGACCAAAAAGGAAGGAAGGCUUAUUUGGGAGAAUGGGCAGGAAUGCAGAAGACACUAGUUGUGCAAUUGCUGAACCUGGUAUAUAAAAAUAUGGUGACCUGAGUUCCUGCUGUGGUGCAGCAGAAUCAACAAUAUCUCUAGAUCGCUGGAAUGCAAGUUUGACCCUGGGUUACGGAUCCAGCAUUGCUGCAGCUAUGGUGCAGGUUGGAUCCAGCAUUGCUGCCACUGUGGAGCAGGUUGCAACUUCAGCUUAGAUCCGAUCCCUGGCGCAGGAACUUCCAUAUGCCCUGGGGCAGCCGAGAGAGAGAGAGAGAGAGAGAGAGAGAGAGAGAGAGAGAGAG